rnacentral:rRNA from 1 species
AAUCGCGGACAUUGGGGGGGACCCUAAUCCAGCCAUGCCGCGCGUAGGAUGAAUACCUUCGGUUUGUAUAUUACUUUUGGCAGAGAAGAAAAGGCAGUCCCUAAUACUGGAUGCUGCUGACUGUAUCUCCGGUAUAAGCACAGGCUACCCACGUGCCAGCAGCCGCGGUAAUACGUAGGGUGCAAGCGUUACUCGGAAUUACUGUGCGUAAAGCGUGUGUGGGCGGUUCGUAAAGAAAGAUGUGAAAUCGCAAGGCUCAACCUUGGACCUGCAUUUUUAACUGCCGAGCUAGAGUAUGUCAGAGGGGGGUAGAAUUCCACGUGUAGCAGUGAAAUGCGUAGAUAUGUGGAGGAAUACCGAUGGCGAAGGCAGCCCCCUGGGAUAAUACUGUCGCUCAGACACGAAAGCGUGGGGAGCAAACAGG